rnacentral:rRNA from 1 species
GAUGAACGCUGGCGGCGUGCCUAAUACAUGCAAGUCGAGCGAACAGACGAGGAGCUUGCUCCUUUGACGUUAGCGGCGGACGGGUGAGUAACACGUGGGUAACCUACCUAUAAGACUGGGAUAACUUCGGGAAACCGGAGCUAAUACCGGAUAAUAUUUCGAACCGCAUGGUUCGAUAGUGAAAGAUGGCUCUGCUAUCACUUAUAGAUGGACCUGCGCCGUAUUAGCUAGUUGGUAAGGUAACGGCUUACCAAGGCAACGAUACGUAGCCGACCUGAGAGGGUGAGCGGCCACACUGGAACUGAGACACGGUCCAGACUCCUACGGGAGGCAGGAGUAGGGAAGCUUCCGCAAUGGGCGAAAGCCUGACGGAGCAACGCCGCGUGAGUGAUGAAGGUCUUCGGAUCGUAAAACUCUGUUAUUAGGGAAGAACAAACGUGUAAGUAACUGUGCACGUCUUGACGGUACCUAAUCAGAAAGCCACGGCUAACUACGUG